GUGUAAAAUCAGUCUUUCGGCGAGCUACAGCCUACUAAUUUUACUUUUCUAGUGAACAUACUUCUUUCCGUAGGAAAUGUUAUACUUUAUUUACAUUUUAGGGUACAUGAGGAUUAAAUUGAAAAGUAGUUUGACUUGUUUGAACAAAGUUUAGCGAUAGCUUUUUGGAUUCCUUUGUCUGCAUGUUGAACGAGUGGAUUACUGAAAUCGAUAGCUUUUGGGAAAUAAAGAAGGAUUUUAUCUAACAAAACGACCAUUCAUCUUGUAGCUGGGACCUUUGGGAUUGCAAACAGAGGAAGAUUUUCAAAAACUGGAACAGGGGCUUGGCCAUCUUGUUUUGGCGGGAAGAGGAGAGGAGCACCUCCGGCCAACUAUGUUCCGUUCUGGCAUCCCUUUGACAAGUAUCAGAGGACAAGUUAACACAGUCCCUUGCUUACAAAGUAAGCCUGUCCGGUGGCUUGCACAGCCGACCCACCCGUGAGUAAGUAUGGGCUCUAACAGGGAAAGGAUUCGGGCCACGAGCUGGAGAGCUUGGUG
ensembl:lncRNA